rnacentral:rRNA from 1 species
GCCCAAGAGAUCGGGAUAACACCUGGAAACAGAUGCUAAUACCGGAUAACAACAGAUGAUGCCUAUCAACUGUUUAAAAGAUGGUUCUGCUAUCACUCUUGGAUGGACCUGCGGUGCAUUAGCUAGUUGGUAGGGUAACGGCCUGCCAAGGCGAUGAUGCAUAGCCGAGUUGAGAGACUGAUCGGCCACAUUGGGACUGAGACACGGCCCAAACUCCUACGGGAGGCAGCAGUC